rnacentral:misc_RNA from 1 species
ACCUGUUAAAUGCAUUGCAUACCAUGUUCUUCCUUAGAAAAUAUAACCAUUCAAAAAUUCAUAGAAGCUCAUCGUACAUACAAAAUCAUUGACUAUUUAAAUAAAAGACAAAUAUGUAAAUAGCAAAACUCAAAUCACAAAAAGUUUAUUGGCCUUAUCUAAUCAAACUCCCUCUGGAUCACAAAUUACUGUGUUGAAGGACCAUGCUAAAAGCAAUAAGGACAAAUAAGACGCAAAAACUGCUUAGAUUUGUGGGUUUGCAG